AACGAACGCUGGCGGCAUGCCUAACACAUGCAAGUCGAACGAGACCUUCGGGUCUAGUGGCGCACGGGUGCGUAACGCGUGGGAACCUGCCCUUAGGUUCGGAAUAACUCCCCGAAAGGGGUGCUAAUACAGGAUAAUGUCUUCGGACCAAAGAUUUAUCGCCUUUGGAUGGGCCCGCGUUGGAUUAGCUAGUUGGUAGGGUAAAAGCCUACCAAGGCGACGAUCCAUAGCUGGUCUGAGAGGAUGAUCAGCCACACUGGGACUGCGACACGGCCCAGACUCCUACGGGAGGCAGCAGUGGGGAAUAUUGGACAAUGGGCGAAAGCCUGAUCCAGCAAUGCCGCGUGAGUGAUGAAGGCCUUAGGGUUGUAAAGCUCUUUUACCCGGGAUGAUAAUGACAGUACCGGGAGAAUAAGCUCCGGCUAACUCCGU
rnacentral:rRNA from 1 species